rnacentral:rRNA from 1 species
GCCAGCCCGCUCAGAAACUCAAAGGAAUUGACGGGGGCCCGCACAAGCGGUGGAGCAUGUGGUUAAUUCGAAGCAACGCGAAGAACCUUACCAGGCCUUGACAUGCAGAGAACUUUCCAGAGAUGGAUUGGUGUCUUCGGGAACUCUGACACAGGUGCUGCAUGGCUGUCGUCAGCUCGUGUCGUGAGAUGUUGGGUUAAGUCCCGUAACGAGCGCAACCCUUGUCCUUAGUUACCAGCACGUUAUGGUGGGCACUCCAAGGAGACUGCCGGUGUUAAACCGGAGGAAGGUGGGGAUGACGUCAAGUCCUCAUGGCCUUUAUGACCAGGGCUACACACGUACUACAAUGGCCGAUACAAAGGGCAGCGACACUGCGAGGUGAAGCCAAUCCCGUAAAAUCGGUCUCAGUCCGGAUUGGAGUCUGCAACUCGACUCCAUGAAGUUGGAAUCGCUAGUAAUCGUGGAUCAGCAUGCCACGGUGAAUACGUUCCCGGGCCUU